GCACAGCUGUGGAGUCCCAUAAUAGAACGAAACGGCUGUCCAGUGC
rfam:Schistosoma mansoni, Puerto Rico, WGS project CABG01000000 data, contig: 0049